rnacentral:rRNA from 1 species
GACGUAGGGUCCAAGCGUUAUCCGGAAUCACUGGGCGUAAAGCGUCUGUAGGUGGCGUGUUAAGUGUGAUGUUAAAUCGCGGGGCUCAACCCUGUCGCUGUAUCACAUACUGGCACACUAGAGGACGGCAGAGGCAAGUGGAAUUUGUAGUGUAGCAGUGAAAUGCGUAGAUAUUACAAGGAACACCAAUGGCGAAGGCAGCUUGCUGGGCCAAUCCUGACACUGAGAGACGAAAGCGUGGGGAGCGAACAGG